rnacentral:rRNA from 1 species
UGGUGGGUAGUUUGACUGGGGCGGUCUCCUCCUAAAGAGUAACGGAGGAGCACGAAGGUUGGCUAAUCCUGGUCGGACAUCAGGAGGUUAGUGCAAUGGCAUAAGCCAGCUUGACUGCGAGCGUGACGGCGCGAGCAGGUGCGAAAGCAGGUCAUAGUGAUCCGGUGGUUCUGAAUGGAAGGGCCAUCGCUCAACGGAUAAAAGGUACUCCGGGGAUAACAGGCUGAUACCGCCCAAGAGUUCAUAUCGACGGCGGUGUUUGGCACCUCGAUGUCGGCUCAUCACAUCCUGGGGCUGAAGUAGGUCCCAAGGGUAUGGCUGUUCGCCAUUUAAAGUGGUACGCGAGCUGGGUUUAGAACGUCGUGAGACAGUUCGGUCCCUAUCUGCCGUGGGCGCUGGAGAACUGAGGGGGGCUGCUCCUAGUACGAGAGGACCGGAGUGGACGCAUCACUGGUGUUCGGGUUGUCAUGCCAAUGGCACUGCCCGGUAGCUAAAUGCGGAAGAGAUAAGUGCUGAAAGCAUCUAAGCACGAAACUUGCCCCGAGAUGAGUUCUCCCUGAGACUUUAGGUCUCCUGAAGGAACGUUGAAGACGACGACGUUGAUAGGCCGGGUGUGUAAGCGCAGCGAUGCGUUGAGCUAACCGGUACUAAUGAACCGUGA